GAAAUGCGAUACGUAAUGUGAAUUGCAGAAUUCAGUGAAUCAUCGAAUCUUUGAACGCAUAUUGCGCUCUUUGGUAUUCCGAAGAGCAUGCUUGUUUGAGUAUCAGUAAACACCUCAAAGCUUUUGAUUUUUUUUUGAAAGCUUUGGACUUGAGCAAUCCCAACACCAGUCUUUUUUAGAUCGGAGGCGGGUUGCUUGAAAUGCAGGUGCAGCUGGACAUUCUCCUGAGCUAUAAGCAUAUUUAUUUAGUCCCGUCAAACGGAUUAUUACUUUUGCUGCAGCUAACAUAAAGGGAGUCUGACCGUAUUGGCUGACUGAUGCAGGAUUUCACAAGGGCUGGCAACAGCUUCUUGUAAAACUCGAUCUCAAAUCAAGUAAGACUACCCGCUGAACUUAA
rnacentral:misc_RNA from 1 species